AGGCCAUAUCAAGUUGAAAUACCAGUUCCAGUAAAAAUCACUGAACUUGAGCAAUGUUGAGCCUGGUUAGUACCUAGAUGGGUGACUACUUGGGAAUACCAGGUGCUGUAAG